UGGGGAAUAUUGCACAAUGGGCGCAAGCCUGAUGCAGCCAUGCCGCGUGUAUGAAGAAGGCCUUCGGGUUGUAAAGUACUUUCAGCGGGGAGGAAGGGAGUAAAGUUAAUACCUUUGCUCAUUGACGUUACCCGCAGAAGAAGCACCGGCUAACUCCGUGCCAGCAGCCGCGGUAAUACGGAGGGUGCAAGCGUUAAUCGGAAUUACUGGGCGUAAAGCGCACGCAGGCGGUUUGUUAAGUCAGAUGUGAAAUCCUCGGGCUCAACCUGGGAACUGCAUCUGAUACUGGCAAGCUUGAGUCUCGUAGAGGGGGGUAGAAUUCCAGGUGUGGCGGUGAAAUGCGUAGAGAUCUGGAGGAAUACCGGUGGCGAAGGCGGCCCCCUGGACGAAGACUGACGCUCAGGUGCGAAAGCGUGGGGAGCAAACAGG
rnacentral:rRNA from 1 species